rnacentral:rRNA from 1 species
GUAAGGGAUCUUGCGCAAUGGGCGAAAGCCUGACGCAGCAACGCCGCGUGGAGGACGACGGCCUUCGGGUUGUAAACUCCUUUGGCGCGGGACGAGCGAGGACGGUACCGCGCGAACAAGUCACGGCUAACUACGUGCCAGCAGCCGCGGUAAAACGUAGGUGGCAAGCGUUAUCCGGAUUGACUGGGCGUAAAGCGUGUGCAGGCGGGUCGCCAAGUGGGGCUUGAAAUCGCCCGGCUUAACCGGGCGGGGUGGUGCCAGACUGGCGGUCUAGAGGCCGGGAGAGGGGCGUGGAAUUCCGGGUGUAGUGGUGAAAUGCGUAGAGAUCCGGAGGAACCCCAGAGGCGAAGGCGGCGCCCUGGCCCGGCCCUGACGCUCAGACACGACAGCAUGGGGAGCGAACGGGAUUAGAUACCCUAGUAGUCC